AGGAUACCAGAGUCUGAGCAGGAAGAGAGAGGAUCCAGCAUCUGUGGUGACCUACUACUUUCUGGGAACAGUCCUGGGCUCUCUAUCUGGCUUUCACCCAAAGCAACACGGAGGUGUGUACCAUGCCUACAUGCAGGCCACAGAACAUUGACUUCAUUUAUGUUCACCAAAGAAGAUGUGAGACAAUUUCAAAUCUGAGAAGAAAUAGGCUCUAGCAUUGGUGGUGCUGGGGGAAUCGGGACAGACGAUGUCCAAGCUCUGCUUCAGAAACCUUAGGAAAGGAGUCUGUAGGUGGAAAAACAUUCCAUUGAGAUAUUCAUGAAACCCAAACUAAAUUAUAAG
rnacentral:lncRNA from 1 species